rnacentral:lncRNA from 1 species
CUGGGUUACAGUAAUAUGCCAUUUACUUAUUCCUUGCAGAAUGAAUUACCACUUAUUUAAAUAUCUACAGUAUAUGUGGGGCUGAUCUUUAGUUAUAAAAUCUGUCCCAUUUUCCAGAGUUCUUUUUUUCUUUUUUUUCUUUUUCUUUCUUUUUUUUUUUUUUUUUUUGCCCCUACAGGUAAGAGGAAGAUAGGACUGGAUGUGUGAGUAUCUGGGUUAAAUUUCUGUCACAAACUUCUUUAGUCACCAUUAAUCACUGAGAUUCUGACCUUCAGCAAUGAAAGAAAACAAUUUAUAAAGUUUGCAAAAAAAAAAAAAAGUAAGAGUCCAUAUCUUCUAAUACAUACGUGCACUGUUAACAUUCCUCACAUUUAGAUCAAAAGAU